AGACACCGCCUCCACCACAGUUCUGACAACUUGUUCCUAAGUGUUUGUCAGUCUUGUUUGUAUUAUUGCCAGUGUUAUACAUGGCCGGACACUGCGCCACGCGACUGCAUUGCCAGCCACGAGGAAGUCUGACAAGUAUCACAAGCUCGAGGACUGACUGGACUAUAAAGUGGGACUUGUCUUAAAAGACCAGGAGCAACAUUGGAGAUGAUGCAGAAAGUGGCAUCUGUCUUUGCUACUCACAUCCAUACAGCAAUGAACAAAGGAGAACAGUUUUCAUAGCCCAUGCCAAGAUUGUCAGACAAGAAAAACAAAUCUAUCUGAAAACCAAGUGAAGGAAAUGAUGCUGCUCCAGUGGUAUCUAUAAUGUCUUUAUUUGUCUUGACCAACUCUGAGAAGCAAGUUCGAGCUCAACCAUGCUGUGUGUCUGACUUCUGCUAAGUGUGGAGCAUCAUGCCAUCCCAAGUGCCUGUUAGAACUGAGUGGUGACACCAAUACAGACAGAAAUGGUUCGCGGGCUCCUUACCUGGCAACUCAGAAGCAGGAAUGUUCUGACGAUACUGGUAGGUCAGCUCUCGGAAGCUACGCAGACCACAGCAGUAACACAGCACAGUAUUUCCAGUGAUUCUGUAAUCUGGGGGAACACAGCCAUAUCUGGACACAGCCAUUUAUCAAGCAAUGUCAUUUUCUAACACCAAAAUAGACACACUUCAAACUAGUAGGAAACUAACACAUCAACUCAAUAGGUUAGACAUUUGGAAAAUAAUCCCAAAACCAAUCUAAAUACCAAUUUAGCUGGAUUUUUAUUUAUUUUUAUUUUAUCAGUGUUUAUGUGCAUUAAUGUCUGGGCAUCAUAUGUGUGCAGUAGGUGCAAAGAUGGAUCCUCUGGCACCAGAGUUACAGAUAGUCAUGAGCCACCAUGUAGGCGCUGGGAACCCUGGUCCUCUCCAAGAGCAACGCAUGCUCACAGCUACUAAAAUAAUCACCCGUGGAUUAAAAUUUUAAAUAUUUAAAAAUCCCCCCAAAAGUUUUAAGAUUGGAGAGAGUAUUCUCUUGUGCUAAAGUAAAUUAAAUUAGUAAUUCCUUAUCUGAAAUACAUGGGUCAGAGGUAUUUAAUAUGGUUAAUUAUUCCUUAUCUAGAACAUGUAGGUCACUGGUAUUCUGGCUUAGAUUGAUUUUUCAGAUUUGAACAUAUUUGCGUUUAUGUUCCCAAGGAUUAAAAUAAAUUGUGUGUAUAAGUGUUUUGCCUG
rnacentral:lncRNA from 1 species